UACGAAGGGGGCUAGCGUUGUUCGGAAUUACUGGGCGUAAAGCGUGCGCAGGCGGCUUCUCAAGUCAGGGGUGAAAGCCCAGAGCUCAACUCUGGAAUUGCCUUUGAGACUGAGUGGCUUGAGUACGAGAGAGGUGAGUGGAAUUCCCAGUGUAGAGGUGAAAUUCGUAGAUAUUGGGAAGAACACCGGUGGCGAAGGCGGCUCUCUGGACCGAGACUGACGCUGAGGCGCGAAAGCGUGGGGAGCAAACAGG
rnacentral:rRNA from 1 species